rnacentral:rRNA from 1 species
UACAGAGGGUGCAAGCGUUACUCGGCAUUACUGGGCGUAAAGCGUGCGUAGACGGUUAUUUAAGUCGGGUGUGAAAGCCCCGGGCUCAACCUGGGAAUUGCAUUCGAGACUGAAUAGCUAGGGUGCGGAAGAGGGAAGCGGAAUUUCCGGUGUAGCGGUGAAAUGCGUAGAUAUCGGAAGGAACACCAGUGGCGAAAGCGGCUUCCUGGGCCAGCACCGACGUUCAGGCACGAAAGCGUGGGGAGCAAACAGG